UAAUUUUACAGAUUUAAAUAGAAAAAAGUGUCUUGCUAUUUUUAAGAUGCUAUAAAUUUUAUUAAGCCAUGGAAUUAGGUCUGUUAAGAGUUUUCUUUGUAAAUCAGCAUACUAACAUACAGCAAAACAUAAAAUUACUUCCAUUGCUGGCAAUUACUUUUGGCAACUUUCCAGCAAUCAUAUCUCUAUAACUUUCUAGUAAAAAAAUCAAAACAAAUUUAACCAAAGUCAGUUGGCAAUAUAAAAUGACGUAACAAUUAUUUCUUACCCAGUUUUUUUCUUUUUCUUCAUAGAUCUGUUCUUAUUCCUGAUGCACAUUUGAUUGUUUCGAAUUUUUACCAAUAUAUUAGUUGAUCAGUAUUUAUAUGUUUUUCAGUGUUUUGAUCCAUUAAUACUUUGUUCUGUUAUAGUGAUGAGUUAUUAUUGUAGUCUUAUUUAUAGAUUUUAACAGUAUUUUUUGUGGUUGUUAGUUAAUGUAUAGUGUUUAAUUAUAGCUGGUAUGAUAGUAAAAUUUUAUAACUCGACUGUAGUAGAAACCAGAAGACUGUUAUCUCCCUUUAAAUAUCUACGUUUGGUAAUUAUCUCCCUUUAAUUAUCAACAUUUGGUAAUUAUCUCCCUUUAAUUAUCAACAUUUUGUAAUUAUUAUCUCCCUUUAAUUAUCAAUAUUUGGUAAUUAUCUCCCUUGAUUAAAUAGAACAGUAAUAUAAAUUCAGGUAUUCUCCCUAUGCAUUCUACAAUUUGGUUUAAAGUGGAAUCCUGCUGUGUAUUUGACAGUCCCUUCACAAACAACCUUUUUGGUUUUGAUAAAAACCCAAGCCUAUUUUAGAUGGUCUGAUAAACAUAAAUGUAUACCUAUUAAAAUAUAUUUCUGAAAGGAAUAAUGUCAGCAUUUAUCACAGUCAUUGUGAACAAAUUUCUGAACAUAUUAUAACUCGAAAAGCUUCAGAAUUAAUAUUACAUUAGUGGUUUAUUUUCUGAGGAGUUAAAAUUGUUCUGAUUUGCAAGGCCAAACCUGUUUGUUAGGUUUUUCUUUUCUUUGUUCUGAUUUUCUUAAAAAUACAAUCUAUGUGAGGGAUUUUCUGGAAAUUUUAUUUUUAUUGGGCUAAUUUUAAAAGUCAUGGCUAGAAAAUUCUUUUUUACAGUAUCUCCCGUGUUAGAGAACCUGGAAAAUGGGUAUAACAAACUUAUCUAUUUAACAAUAUUUAUUAAAAAAAAGACUGUUUUUGAAAAAUAGUCAUUGUGAAACCUAUAUGAUUUUUUUUAUUCUGUUUGUGGUGAUCUAUAAAAAAAAAUUCCAAUUAGCUCUGAAUUUUCAGAUAGUCACAUUAUUAUGAAAAUUUCAAAUGGAAAUAUAACUAGUUACAAUACUUAAGACACAGUUAAAUUGAAUAUCUUCAGCUCGCCAUAUGAUUAUUAUAAGGGUUUUUUGCUGUUCAAAUAUUUGCCUCUAUCAUCUUCAUCACAUAUUUUCCAUUGCAUUUCCACAUAAUAUUUAUCAAUAUAUUAUUCAGGACUGAACUGUUGCUUUAGCAGUGAUAUAUGAAUUUCAUGAUAUUCAUGUGUAAAUUUUUGUUGAAUCAUGAUGCAGAAAACUUUUUGAGUCCAUUGAUCAUGUCAUGUGAAUUACAUAUAUAUUUAUGUAAAAGUCAGUAAACCAUAGAGUUAUAUAUUUUUCUGAAAUCUGUAAAUUUUGUGUAAAUAAAUGUAUAUUGUAUAUUAAUAAUUAUUAGUAUUUGGACUUUUACUGAAUAGAAAUAUUCAAAAUAGUCCUUUUUCGCUUAUUUAAGGAAGACAUGUUUUGAAACAGUUGCAUGUGCAUGCUGAAAUAAAAGUUUUAUAAUGGUAUGACCAGAAACAGUGUUUUGAGUUGCAUGGAUGUAUAAUUUAUUUUUGUGGAACAUAUUCAUAAUAUUCGUAAAAAUUUAUCAUUUCUGAGAAAUUAUGCAAAAAUUUAAAGAGAAACAGUUCUAUAGAUUCUUUUUAUAUUUGUAAUAUAUGUAUUCAGUUUUCCUAAAUUUUAAUGAUACCAGUUUCAGAGUGCAAUAUUUAGAUAUUUUGGGAAAUUAAGAAUUUAAACUUUAAAGUAAUUUAUUUCAACAUCAGAAUGGCUAUGGGAUUUUUUUUUGCUUUCAUUUCUAAAUACAUGUAGAUGUUUAUUUAGGGUCUGGUGUUGUGUAUAUAGUGUAAAUAUGAGACAAGAAAGGCAGC
rnacentral:lncRNA from 1 species